rnacentral:misc_RNA from 1 species
GAUGAAGAACGCAGCGAAAUGCGAUAAGUAAUGUGAAUUGCAGAAUUCAGUGAAUCAUCGAAUCUUUGAACGCACAUUGCGCCCGCCAGUAUUCUGGCGGGCAUGCCUGUUCGAGCGUCAUUUCAACCCUCAAGACCCCUUCGGGGGACUUGGUGUUGGGGACCGGCACAGGGGCCUGCCUGCUUGUCUUGCAGCGCCCUCGCCGCCCCCGAAAUGAAUUGGCGGCCUCGUCGCGGCCUCCCCUGCGUAGUAGCACAACCUCGCAACGGGAACGUGACGGCGGCCACUGCCGUAAAACAACCCAAUUUUAUUAGAGUUGACCUCGAAUCAGGUAGGAAUACCCGCUGAACUUAAGCAUAUCAAUAAGCGAGGA